rnacentral:rRNA from 1 species
UAAAAUAGUUUGGCAGCGAGCGAAUCCUGUUAGGGGAAGGUGUGUUAUAAAGGAUGAUCCGCCUAUUAAUUUACUCUUAUUAUGUUGGUGUAUAUCUGGUUUAAUAUUAUUGUUUAGUAGCUUAAUUUGUGUAUGUUUGUUAUUUAAGCCAAGUCUAUGUGCUGCUUGUAAGAGAUUUCAUGCGUUACAUUUAUAAAUUUAGCUAUGUGAUUGAGUUAAUAAAUUAAGGACUUAAAAGUAAUGUAGAAUCAGUUUGUCUAUGUGAAAUGGGUUUAGCUUGGGU